ACGGGAAGCAGCAGUAGGGAAUCUUCCACAAUGGGCGAAAGCCUGAUGGAGCGAUGCCAUGUGAACGAAGAAGGUCUUUUUGAUUGUAAAGUUCUUUUAGAGGGGAAAAUAAUGAUGGUACCCUCUGAAUAAGUGACAGCAAACUAUGUGCCAGCAGCUGCGGUAAUACAUAGGUCGCGAGCGUUAUUCGGAUUUAUUGGGCGUAAAGCAAGCGCAGGCGGACAGAUAAGUUUUGUGUUAAAAGCAGUUGCUCAACAAUUGUUUGCGCUGAAUACUGUCUGUCUAGAAUACGGUAGGAAGUUUUGGAAUUGAAUAUGGAGCGGUGGAAUGUGUAGAUAUAUUCAAGAACACCAGAGGCGAAGGCGAAAACUUAGGCCGCUAUUGACGCUUAGGCUUGAAAGUGUGGGGAGCAAAUGGGAUUAGAUACCCCAGUAGUCCACACUGUAAACGAUGGAUAUUAGAUGUUGGGGCUUGUGCUUCAGCGUUGUAGCUUACGUAUUAAAUAUCCCGCCUGGGUAGUACAUAUGCAAAUAUGAAACUCAAAGGAAUUGACGGGGACCUGAACAAGUGGUGGAACAUGUUGCUUAAUUCGAUAAUACACGAAAAACCUUACCAAGGUUUGACAUCCCCCGCGAAGCUAUAGAAAUAUAGUGGAGGUUAUCGGGGUGACAGGUGGUGCAUGGCUGUCGUCAGCUCGUGUCAUGAGAUGUUUGGUUAAGUCCCGCAACGAGCGCAACCCUACUCUUUAGUUAGUUGUCUAAAGAGACUGAACAGUAAUGUAUAGGAAGGUUGGGAUCACGUCAAGUCAUCAUGCCCCUUAUGCCUUGGGCCGCAAACGUGUUACAAUGGCGAGUACAACGUGCCGCAAACCAGCGAUGGUAAGCUAAUCACUAAAAGCUCGUCUCAGUCCGGAUAAAAGGCUGCAAUUCGCCUUUUUGAAGUUGGAAUCACUAGUAAUCCCGUGUCAGCUAUAUCGGGGUGAAUACGUUCCCAGGUCUUGUACAC
rnacentral:rRNA from 1 species